rnacentral:rRNA from 1 species
GACGUAGGGCGCGAGCGUUGUCCGGAUUUAUUGGGCGUAAAGAGCUCGUAGGCGGCUUGUCGCGUCGUCCGUGAAAACCCACAGCUCAACUGUGGGCUUGCGGUCGAUACGGGUAGGCUAGAGUUCGGUAGGGGAGACUGGAAUUCCUGGUGUAGCGGUGAAAUGCGCAGAUAUCGGGAGGAACACCGGUGGCGAAGGCGGUUCUCUGGGCCUUACCUGACGCUGAGGAGCGAAAGCGUGGGGAGCGAACAGG